ensembl:rRNA 5S_rRNA 5S ribosomal RNA
UGACACAGACAAAUCACCCUGAGCCCAAGACCGGUACUCACUGAAGCUAAGCAGGUCAGAGCCUGGUCAGUACCUGGAUGAAAGACCACAUGGGAAAACUAGGUUGCUGUUAAAA